GCCGGGCAUGGUGACGCAUGUCUGUAAUCCCAGCAACUUGGGAGGCUGAGGCAGGAGAAUUGCUUGAACCCAGGAGGCGGAGGUUGCAGUGAGCUGAGAUGGCGACAUUGCACUCCAACCUGGGUGAUAGAGUGAGACUCUGUCUCAA
rnacentral:SRP_RNA from 1 species